UAUGACUUACUGGCUUGCUGGAUUAUUAUUAAUGUCAUCUCCGUUAGUUUCUAUUUCAUUGUUAUAGUCAAAAUCCAAACCCUCAAUGUCUGUUGAACUAUCCGACAAGUAACUUUCAUUUGAAAUACUUGUAUGAAAUUAUUCUGGAAGAGUUGAUUUUUUUUAAAUUUAAUAAAGUUGUUUGAAGUUAAUUGUUUGAAUUAUCAUAAAAAGUCGUUAGCUCGGUGAAGCCAAUAAUUCUUUUGCUGCUGCAUGAGUGCACGACAGAACUUUGAAUGAAAAAUAACAUAAUAUCUCCAAUCAACUAUUUAAUUUUAUUUGUAAUAUUAUAAUUUACAUGUCGUUUUCAAAUAUUUG